GCCCCGGUGGCGAAACCGGUAGACGCUACGGACUUAAAAUCCGUUUCCCGCAAGGGAGUGCCAGUUCGAGUCUGGCCCGGGGCACCA
rnacentral:tRNA from 2 species